UUUCCUGUUGAUGGUUUGAUCUAACUAGUUUUUUAAUUUGAGCAUGAUAAUGUUUUGUGUUUUGUUAUAUUAACACAUUACUAAAUUUAGUAAUUUAUUUAUUGCUACUAGAAAUGAUUUUUCUUUUGAUAUGCUGUUUCCCGUUGGUUUUAAAAUAUCCUAUUUGUGAAGCAAGCAUAAGUUCCAGUGAGAAAAAUGAAAACGAUCAGACUCUAUGCUACCCAAACUAUUUUUGGGAUAAUGGAGAAUGUAAAGCAUGCCCAUCCGGAUAUUUUGGUACGAACUGUUCUAAAAGAUGCCCCUAUCCUUACUAUGGUAAAUUGUGCAAGGAAGUGUGUCUUUGUAAUGCUACAGAUUGUGAUCAUGUCUUUGGAUGUCAAAGAAAUAAUUCAGAGAUUGAGACAGCAACAGGGAUCACCAAAUCAGAUGUAUCAUCAACGAAAGAAAAAUCCGAAUAUUCAACAGCUCAAACGGAAGUAUAUGAAAAGCAAGAAAAACCCAAACACUCAACACCUCAAACGAAAUUAUAUGAUUACCAAGGUAACGUGAAAAACGAUAAUUUAAGAAUACCGGUUGUAAUUGUGGGUUGCAUCCUUAUAUUCCUAAUAGUUGUAUAUGGAUUAAAAUGGAUUUCAAAGCCAAUAAGAAAAACAGGAACAUUUGAAUUACCUAGAGAAGAUAAUGACCCAACAACCGAAUAUCUGGAGAUCAAUGAAAUAUCUGAACAAGAAUCCGUGUCCAACACAACCAGUACAACCGUCACAGCAAGAUCUUGAUCAUCUCUGAAUAGAGUAGAAAUCAGACCGCAAAAAUUCCGGUCAGGAAUACACAACAAAUCUCCUGCUUAACGAGGCCGGGUUUAAUUUGUUUUGCCCUAGAUUUUUGAAUGAAAUUUUUUACAUGAAUUUUUACUGAUAUAUUUAUUAUUUUAAGAUAUAAAAAAUAAGACAUUUACCAC
rnacentral:misc_RNA from 1 species